GAUGAACGCUGGCGGCGUGCCUAAUACAUGCAAGUCGAGCGAACGGACGAGAAGCUUGCUUCUCUGAUGUUAGCGGCGGACGGGUGAGUAACACGUGGAUAACCUACCUAUAAGACUGGGAUAACUUCGGGAAAACGGAGCUAAUACCGGAUAAUAUUUUGAACCGCAUGGUUCAAAAGUGAAAGACGGUCUUGCUGUCACUUAUAGAUGGAUCCGCGCUGCAUUAGCUAGAUGGUAAGGUAACGGCUUACCAAGGCAACGAUGCAUAGCCGACCUGAGAGGGUGAUCGGCCACACUGGAACUGAGACACGGUCCAGACUCCUACGGGAGGCAGCAGUAGGGAAUCUUCCACAAUAGGCGAAAGCCUGACGGAGCAACGCCGCGUGAGUGAUGAAGGUCUUCGGAUCGUAAAACUCUGUUAUUAGGGAAGAACAUAUGUGUAAGUAACUGUGCACAUCUUGACGUUACCUAAUCAGAAAGCCACGGCUAACUACGUG
rnacentral:rRNA from 1 species